GCGGGCGUGGCGAAAUCGGUAGACGCAACGGACUUAAAAUCCGUCGGAUAGCAAUAUCCUUGGGGGUUCAAGUCCCCCCGCCCGCACCA
rnacentral:tRNA from 1 species